UACGGAGGGUGCAAGCGUUAAUCGGAAUUACUGGGCGUAAAGCGUGCGCAGGCGGUUUGUUAAGUCCGCUGUGAAAUCCCCGAGCUCAACUUGGGAAUUGCAGUGGAUACUGGCAAGCUGGAGUAUGGUAGAGGAAGGUGGAAUUCCCGGUGUAGCAGUGAAAUGCGUAGAGAUCGGGAGGAACACCAGUGGCGAAGGCGGCUUGCUGGGCGUGAUCUGACGCUGAGGCGCGAAAGCGUGGGGAGCGAACAGG
rnacentral:rRNA from 1 species